rnacentral:rRNA from 1 species
GAUGAACGCUGGCGGCGUGCCUAAUACAUGCAAGUCGAGCGAACGGACGAGAAGCUUGCUUCUCUGAUGUUAGCGGCGGACGGGUGAGUAACACGUGGAUAACCUACCUAUAAGACUGGGAUAACUUCGGGGAACCGGAGCUAAUACCGGAUAAUAUUUUGAACCGCAUGGUUCAAAAGUGAAAGACGGUCUUGCUGUCACUUAUAGAUGGAUCCGCGCUGCAUUAGCUAGUUGGUAAGGUAACGGCUUACCAAGGCAACGAUGCAUAGCCGACCUGAGAGGGUGAUCGGCCACACUGGAACUGAGACACGGUCCAGACUCCUACGGGAGGCAGCAGUAGGGAAUCUUCCGCAAUGGGCGAAAGCCUGACGGAGCAACGCCGCGUGAGUGAUGAAGGUCUUCGGAUCGUAAGACUCUGUUAUUAGGGAAGAACAUAUGUGUAAGUAACUGUGCACAUCUUGACGGUACCUAAUCAGAAAGCCACGGCUAACUACGUG